rnacentral:rRNA from 1 species
AAGCGCCUAUGACCAGACUUGGGCCCGGUGAAUCAUCCAGCGUUCUCGCUGGUGCACUCUUCUGUCGACAGGCCAGCAUCAGUUUGGGCGGCCGGAUAAAGGCAUUGGGAACGUGGCUCCUCGGAGUGUUAUAGCCCUUUGCACAAUGCGGCCAGCCCGGACUGAGGACCGCGAUUCACGGAUGCUGGCUUAAUGG